AACGAACGCUGGCGGCAGGCCUAACACAUGCAAGUCGAACGCUCUAGCAAUAGAGAGUGGCAGACGGGUGAGUAACGCGUGGAAACUUCCUAGGGGUACGGAAUUGCUCAGGGAAACUUGGGGUAAUACCGUAUGAUGCCGAGAGGCCAAAGAUUUAUCGCCCUUAGAUGUGCCCGCGUCGGAUUAGCUAGUUGGUGAGGUAACGGCUCACCAAGGCGACGAUCCGUAGCUGGUUUGAGAGAAUGACCAGCCACACUGGGACUGAGACACGGCCCAGACUCCUACGGGAGGCAGCAGUGGGGAAUCUUGGACAAUGGGCGCAAGCCUGAUCCAGCCAUGCCGCGUGAGUGACGAAGGCCUUAGGGUUGUAAAGCUCUUUUGCCGGGGACGAUAAUGACGGUACCCGGAGAAUAAGUCCCGGCUAACUUCGUGCCAGCCGCCGCGGUAA
rnacentral:rRNA from 1 species